rnacentral:lncRNA from 1 species
CCAAUUUCAGGUUUGACACUUUUUGGAAUUUAUUUUUCUUCCAUGUUCAGAUGGUUGCUUUAUUUUUUUUUUCCCUUACUUUAUCACAGUUUAACUAAAGAUAUUAAUAGUAUGUUUGAUUGCAAGCAUGAAAUUUACAUGAAAAGAAAAUAAUUUCUAGGAAAAUUGUCAAUUAAAGUGUUUGAUUGAUUUUAUUUUCAACCUAGAAAAUGUUAUAUUUGUCAAUUUUUUAUUAAUAGGUAAAUAGGAGAGAGAGGGAGGGAGUAGAUGAGAGAGAAAAAAAUAAUGAAUUACCUGAAAAAUAAAAAUCUACUCUCCUCGAGGAAAAUAUUUUCCUUGUUUUGAAGGAAAAUAUGGUCAUGUGACCAAAAGUAGGAAAAUAUUUUUCAUGGAAAAAAAUCAAUGAAAAUAGCUAAGAAGUAGGAAUUUGGGUAGAAAAAUAUUGGCAAUUAAACGUACUAUUAAUUUAUAUUAAAACUUUAUCAUGAAGAUUAUACGGCAAAAUGUUUUGUUGGAGCCAGUUAGAAAAUGAGUUGUGUAGUAUAUGAUAAUCGCCCUUACUUGCACGAAAUGUUCAAAUUCUCUGAAAGUGACAAUUAAUUAGGAAAUGAGAGAUUUACUUUUAUGUAAAUCUUAUAGGAAUGUAGAAAGGUCGCCUAUGAAUGAAUUAUAUCGUGUUAAAUAUUUGUACAUAUUGACAUUAAAUAAGUUAAUUUUUUCUGAGUGGAGGCAUGUUGACUAUAAGCCAUUGGAUAAGAGAGUUCAUUUGAUGAUUGUGCAAAAGAGACUAAAAGCUUGUUUGAGAGUAAUUUUUCAUCUAAAAAAAUUGAUCUUUUGAUCGUUAUUUCACUAUUUCAGCUGUGAAGUUUGACUUCUUCUCUCAUGGGUGGUUCUCACUUUUCUCCUAACGGUCACAAAAUCAAUUUUCAAAAUCACUCCCAAACGGGGCCUAAGAAGAAAUUACAGUAGGAUAUACUCGAUCUUGUAUUGACUAGUUUUGAGACUAAUUAAAUUCAUCGCCUUUGUGACCAGAUAUGUUGGCGGUGUGUUUAUCUUGAAAUUGUUAAAUUUGAUUCUUUGAGGAUAUUUAUAUACAUGAGCUGGGACCUUGUCCAAAAAAAGCUUUCUUUAAAGCUACUGAUUAACUUGGGUAAUAUGAUAUUUAAUUAUUUUCAAUUUUUAAUCGGUCCAUGUUUUUCUAUUUAUCUUAUCAAAUUUAAUCAAUUAGUAUUUAGUAGCAUUUGAAUAUAUGAAAGUGUACAGUAAAUUGCAAGUUCUACCAUAUAAGAUAUUGUAAAAAAAUUGGUAAUAUACCAUCGUUUACGCUUUCUUUAAUUACGACUUUAUCCUCCUCUUAGCAUAGUCUCCUGCUUUGAUCCAAAAAUUGACUAAGGAUAGAAGCAAGCUACAAGCAUUAGCAACCGCUUUCAUUUUAUGGAAAUGGGAUCCCCCAAUAGCUAGAGACAAAAGAUUCAUAUGAGAAAACAUAAGUAAACGGGCCUCCAUGAGCCUCCAAAGAUAAAGGUACAUGAACAGCCAUUUGAUCCCCAUCAAAAUCUGCAUUGAAUUCCUUACAAACUAAUGGAUGUAAACAAAUAGCAUGCACCUUCACUAAAACGGGCUGGAAUGCCUGUAUGCCUAAUCUAUGCAGAGUGGGUGCUCUAAUAAGCAAUACAGGAUGCCCCUG